CCUACGGGGGGCAUCAGUGAGGAAUAUUGGUCAAUGGACGAGAGUCUGAACCAGCCAAGUAGCGUGAAGGAUGACUGCCCUAUGGGUUGUAAACUUCUUUUAUAUGGGAAUAAAAUGUUCCACGUGUGGGAUUUUGUAUGUACCAUAUGAAUAAGGAUCGGCUAACUCCGUGCCAGCAGCCGCGGUAAUACGGAGGAUCCGAGCGUUAUCCGGAUUUAUUGGGUUUAAAGGGCGCGUAGAUGGAUUGUUAAGUCAGUUGUGAAAGUUUGCGGCUCAACCGUAAAAUUGCAGUUGAAACUGGCAGUCUUGAGUACAGUAGAGGUGGGCGGAAUUCGUGGUGUAGCGGUGAAAUGCUUAGAUAUCACGAAGAACUCCGAUUGCGAAGGCAGUUCACUGGACUGCAACUGACACUGAGGCUCGAAAGUGUGGGUAUCAAACAGGAUUAGAUACCCCUGUAGUC
rnacentral:rRNA from 1 species